rnacentral:tRNA from 1 species
AUUUAUAUAGUUUAAUUAAAAACAUUACAUUUUCAUUGUAAUAAUAAAAUAAAUAUAUUUUUAUAAAUAAUAUUUACAUAUAUAUAUA